UGCAGCUCGCGGGCGCCCGGCCCUCCUCCCGUCUCCUGGUAACCGUUGCCAGCCGGGUCGGGCCCAGCGGCCGGGCCGCCGCUGCCGCCGACGCCUCCGCCGCCGCCGCCUCCACCUGCGUUGCAGGUAUUUCCCAAGGCUUAAGGUGUGCAUCACCCAAAUGAAUCUCCGUUACCAACUUUGUAUGGGAGACUGUCUCCCUUAUUGGAUUGCCGUCCGGGUUUUUCGAAAUGUUAAGGUGAUUCAAAAAGGAUCGUCUAAGUAUUUUAUGUUAAGCCAGUGCCCAAAUUUUCCAGCAUUUGCAGUUUUUUUCUCUUUCGAAUUGCCAUCCAUGGAUGGAUGUGGUCUUGGAGGCCUGUUCACAGUCUAGCUGAUUAUGUGACACUACUCCAGUUUGCAAAUGUAACUGCAGUCACCUUCUGUUCCUCUGGAUGAGUAGCUUUGCUCGCUGCUUUGGAUAGUUCCUGACAGAGGAAUGUCAGACUACCGAAGUUCAAACAGAUUGUUUGUUGAUCCAUAUUCCAACAUCUGCAUUUUCUUGUCUUCACGGAAUACAGCAAGUAGUUCUGUGAAUUUGAAGAAUGGAAACUGAGACCAAGUUGUGAUGCAUUAGGUGCUCUGUGAUAAAGGAAAGGCUUAAUGUAGCAUUUUUCUUUCUUUGUGCCACUUUCAUGUGUAUGUUCAUGGACUCCUCAGUUUCAAAAUUAUUCCUGUCUUUUUCAAGCAGAUAUUUAAAAAAAUACACCUAAUGGCUUUUAUUCAAUUAAAAUAAACCAUUGAUGCUAAUAUUGUUUGCUAUCCGUUUUGCUUGUAAAAUAUGAAUUUUGUGGAAGGACUUCUAAGCAAUAAAAAGCAUG